CCUACGGGAGGCAGCAGUGAGGAAUAUUGGUCAAUGGGAGAGAUCCUGAACCAGCCAAGCCGCGUGAGGGAAGACGGCCCUAUGGGUUGUAAACCUCUUUUGUCGGAGAACAAAACCCGGGACGUGUCCCGGACUGCGUGUAUCCGAAGAAAAAGCAUCGGCAAACUCCGUGCCAGCAGCCGCGGUAAUACGGAGGAUGCGAGCGUUAUCCGGAUUUAUUGGGUUUAAGUGGUGCGUAGGCGGUCCGUUAAGUCAGCGGUAAAAUUGCGGGGCUCAACCUCGUCGAGCCGUUGAAACUGGCAGACUGGAGUGGGCGAGAGGUACGCGGAAUGCGCGGUGUAGCGGUGAAAUGCAUAGAUAUCGCGCAGAACUCCGAUUGCGAAGGCAGCGUACCGGCGCCAGACUGACGCUGAGGCACGAAAGCGUGGGGAUCGAACAGGAUUAGAUACCCCGGUAGUC
rnacentral:rRNA from 1 species